rnacentral:rRNA from 1 species
GAUGAACGCUGGCGGCAGGCCUAAUACAUGCAAGCUGAACGGUAAAUGUUGUAGCAAUACAAUAUGAGAGUAGCGUAAGGGUGCGUAACACGUAUGCAAUCUACCCGCAACAGGAGGAUAGCUCCCCGAAAGGGGAAUUAAUACUCCAUAAGAUCACGAGAGGGCAUCUGAUUGUGAUUAAACUCCAAGGGGUUGCGGAUGAGCAUGCGUCUGAUUAGUUAGUUGGUGAGGUAACGGCUCACCAAGACGAUGAUCAGUAGGGGAACUGAGAGGUUGAUCCCCCA